rfam:Homo sapiens chromosome 4, GRCh38 reference primary assembly.
GCUGGGCAUGGUGGUGGAUGCCUGUAAUCCCAGCUACUCGGGAGGCUGAGGCAUAAGAAUCGCUUGAACCUGGGAGGCAGAGUUUGCAGUGAGCUGAGAUCAUGCCACUGCACUCUAGCCUGGGCAACAAAGCGAGACUCUGCCUCAA